GAUGAACGCUGGCGGCGUGCCUAAUACAUGCAAGUCGAGCGAACAGACGAGGAGCUUGCUCCUCUGACGUUAGCGGCGGACGGGUGAGUAACACGUGGAUAACCUACCUAUAAGACUGGGAUAACUUCGGGAAACCGGAGCUAAUACCGGAUAAUAUAUUGAACCGCAUGGUUCAAUAGUGAAAGACGGUUUUGCUGUCACUUAUAGAUGGAUCCGCGCCGCAUUAGCUAGUUGGUAAGGUAACGGCUUACCAAGGCAACGAUGCGUAGCCGACCUGAGAGGGUGAUCGGCCACACGGGAACUGAGACACGGUCCAGACUCCGACGGGAGGCAGCAGUAGGGAAUCUUCCGCAAUGGGCGAAAGCCUGACGGAGCAACGCGGCGUGAGUGAUGAAGGUCUUCGGAUCGUAAAACUCUGUUAUUAGGGAAGAACAAAUGUGUAAGUAACUAUGCACGUCUUGACGGUACCUAAUCAGAAAGCCACGGCUAACUACGUG
rnacentral:rRNA from 1 species